GGGCGAUCAAGGACACGACCACGGUCAGUCUCGCCAAGGUGAACAGCGACUACAAGGAAUUGGACAUCGCGAUUGUCAAGGCGACGAAUCAUGUGGAGAGACCGGCGAAGGAGAGACAUAUCAAAGCAAUAUUUUAUGCCAUUUCUGCAUCAAGGCCUCGGGCAGAUGUAGCGUACUGCAUUCAUGCUCUUGCCAGACGUCUAUCUAAGACACAUAAUUGGGCGGUGGCAUUAAAAACAUUAAUUGUCAUACAUCGAGCACUCAGGGAAGUGGACCCGAGCUUCCGUGAAGAACUCAUAAAUUAUGGGAGAAGUAGAACUCAUAUGCUUAAUGUCGCCCAUUUUAAGGAUGAUUCUAGUGCAAAUGCAUGGGAUUAUUCAGCAUGGGUGCGUACAUAUGCUUUAUAUUUGGAGGAGAGGCUUGAAUGUUUUCGUGUUCUCAAGUGUGAUGUCGAGUCAGCCCCUCCGAGAACCCGGGAUCUUGACACUAUGGAAUUGCUUGAACAAUUGCCAGCAUUGCAACAACUUCUUUUUCGUCUGCUUGCUUGCCAGCCCCAAGGAGCAGCGGUUUACAAUUUUGUAAUUCAAUUGGCACUUACAAUGGUUGCGGGAGAGAGU
rnacentral:misc_RNA from 1 species